UUCUUCAGAUGAUGAUCCCAAGCCUUCUGGCGAUCUAGACAAAACAAGUCCACCGUGGGCUUUGAAAAACGCUUUCCUUGAUAAAAUUUAAGCGUUUUAUAAGAGGAUGCCGGGGAAGGUUUUCCGGUUUAUCCCGGAGGGCUUGUAGCUCAGUUGGUUAGAGCGCGCGCUUGAUAAGCGUGAGGUCGGAGGUUCAAGUCCUCCCAGGCCCACCAGUUUAUCCAUUACUUUCAUAAGUGCUUUUAAAAAAUAAGUACUUCUAAAAAGAUUGCUUCUAAAAAGCUUAUCAAAAUUGGCAGGCUUAUUGCUUUUGUGUGAGUAAUCCAAAGUUAAAGCAAAUUAAUGGCAAAAAAACAGUUCAAAUGCUAAAUACUAAGGAGUCAAAAUUCCUUGCAAAGUGAUUUUUACAGCGUCCAUUUGGUUGAUAUAAAUUCCAAAUGCUCAUAGACGUCAAUGCCUAUAUGAAACUAUCGGUUCAAUCAUAUCGCUUUGAGUUAUAUAGAUUUUGUAAUCCCUCUUUUGAUCGUUUUAAACGCUUUAUUCUGAUUUAGGGGCCGUAGCUCAGCUGGGAGAGCACCUGCUUUGCAAGCAGGGGGUCGUCCGUUCAAAA
rnacentral:misc_RNA from 1 species